rnacentral:rRNA from 1 species
ACUACGGGGGGCAGCAGUGAGGAAUAUUGGUCAAUGGGCGGGAGCCUGAACCAGCCAAGCCGCGUGAGGGAAGAAGGUACAGCGUAUCGUAACCCUCUUUUGUCAGGGAACAAAGGCGGGGACUAGUCCCCGGCUGAGGGUACCUGAAGAAAAAGCAUCGGCUAACUCCGUGCCAGCAGCCGCGGUAAUACGGGGGAGGCGGGCGUUAUCCGGAUUUAUGGGGUUAAAAGGGUGCGCAGGGGGCCUGUUCAGUCAGCGGUAAAAGCCCGGGGCUCAACGCCGGAGAGCCGUUGAAACUGGCGGGCUGGAGUGGGAGAGAAGUACGCGGAAUGCGCGGUGUAGCGGUGAAAUGCUUAGAUAUCGCGCAGAACCCCGAUUGCGAAGGCAGCGUACCGGCUCCACACUGACGCUGAGGCACGAAAGCGUGGGUAUCGAACAGGAUUAGAUACCCCAGUAGUC